rnacentral:rRNA from 1 species
GAGGGGCAGCGGGGAAAAGCUUGCUUUUCCGCCGGCGACCGGCGCACGGGUGCGGAACGCGUAUGGAACCUGCCCCUGUCAGGGGAAUAGCCCAGGGAAACUUGGAUUAAUGCCCCAUGGUACCACGACAUCGCAUGAUGAUGUGGUUAAAGAUUUAUCGGACAGGGAUGGCCAUGCGUACCAUUAGUUAGUUGGUGGGGUAACGGCCCACCAAGGCAGCGAUGGUUAGGGGCCCUGAGAGGGGGAUCCCCCACACUGGUACUGAGACACGGACCAGACUCCUACGGGAGGCAGCAGUGAGGAAUAUUGGACAAUGGGCGGGAGCCUGAUCCAGCCAUGCCGCGUGCAGGAUGACGGCCCUAUGGGUUGUAAACUGCUUUUAUACGGGAAGAAAUGCGCCCACGUGUGGGCGUCUGACGGUACCGUAAGAAUAAGGACCGGCUAACUCCGUGCCAGCAGCCGCGGUAAUACGGAGGGUCCGAGCGUUAUCCGGAAUCAUUGGGUUUAAAGGGUCCGUAGGCGGGCCUGUAAGUCAGGGGUGAAAGUUUGUGGCUCAACCAUAAAAUUGCCUUUGAUACUGCAGGUCUUGAGUCAUGGUGGGGUCGCCGGAACAUGUGGUGUAGCGGUGAAA